AACGAACGCUGGCGGCAUGCCUAACACAUGCAAGUCGAACGAGACCUUCGGGUAUAGUGGCGCACGGGUGCGUAACGCGUGGGAACCUGCCCUUAGGUUCGGAAUAACUCCCCGAAAGGGGCGCUAAUACCGGAUAAUGUCUUCGGACCAAAGAUUUAUCGCCUGUGGAUGGGCCCGCGUUAGAUUAGCUAGUUGGUAGGGUAAAAGCCUACCAAGGCAACGAUCCAUAGCUGGUUUGAGAGGAUGAUCAGCCACACUGGGACUGAGACACGGCCCAGACUCCUACGGGAGGCAGCAGUGGGGAAUAUUGGACCAUGGGCGAAGGCCUGAUCCAGCGAUGCCGCGUGAGUGAUGAAGGCAUUAGGGUUGUAAAGCUCUUUUAACAGGGAUGAUAAUGACAGUACCGGGAGAAUAAGCGCCGGCUAACUCCGUG
rnacentral:rRNA from 1 species